rnacentral:lncRNA from 1 species
GCAAUUGUUUAAUAUAAACCUAAUCCUAUUUUAGCUCAGCCCUAUUUUAACCUUGUUUUAACCAAGGGUUAUGACUGGUACUCGGUUUAUCUCAUUUAAAUAGAAAAAUCUAUUUUAUUCAUUUUUAUCUUUAACUUCUAAGCAUAAAAUAAAAAAACCUAAGAUAUGAUAUGAUCAUCACUCGUUGCUCUCUUCCGACUUUUGACCAUCAUAACUGGGGCUUUCCACCAAAACAGCAAAAUUAAGUUUUUUCGAUAAAAUUACAAAAAUUAAGUUUCCUGCCAAAAUCACAAAAAUCGAUUUUCCCGCAGAAAAAAAAAGUUAAAAAACAAAAUAUCUAGUUUUUCAAACAAAACUACAAAAAUCAAGUUUUCUGCUAAAAUAGCAAAAAUCGAGUUUCCCGCAAAAAUAAAAAAAUGGAGGUUUUAAGACGAAACCACAAAAAUCAAGUCUCCCGCUAAAUACAUAAAAAUCGUGUUUCACGCAAAAAAACAAAAUUCGAGUUUUUCUGCUAGAAUAAAAAAAAAUUAAUUUUUCCGCCAAAACUAAAAAUUGAGUUUUUCUGUCAAAAUUAAAAGUCAAAUUUUCUCGCUAAAACUGAAAGUCGACUUUUCCGAUAAAAUAUAAAAAUCAAGUUUUCACGCCAAAACCGCAAAAUCAAGUUCUCACCGAAACAGAAAAUCAAGUUUUCUCGCUAAAAACUAAAAACUCGUUUUCC